AGAACGAACGCUGGCGGCAUGCCUAACACAUGCAAGUCGAACGAGACCGCUGACUUCGGUUGGCGCGUCUAGUGGCGCACGGGUGCGUAACGCGUGGGAAUCUGCCCUUGGGUACGGAAUAACAGUUAGAAAUGACUGCUAAUACCGUAUAAUGACUUCGGUCCAAAGAUUUAUCGCCCAGGGAUGAGCCCGCGUAGGAUUAGCUUGUUGGUGAGGUAAAAGCUCACCAAGGCGACGAUCCUUAGC
rnacentral:rRNA from 1 species